AAUAUGUCCAACAUGAUCCAAGCCAAGAUAAUGGAGAAUCAGAAGACUCCAGUCAGCACGACUAAGUUCAUCAACCAAAUGUCGAGAUACAUUUUGAUCUACUUGGACAGUGUCUUUAACAAAGAAACUGCUCACUCCAUCAUGCCUCGAAAACAUUCCAGGAAACAACUUAAGCCAUGUCUCAUCACCAUGCAUCACAAGUUUCCAACCAACUUUUAGGAAUUGAACAAUUAUGUUGUCGUCCAGCAAAACUUGUGUAUUGAAGUUGAAGGCAACAUCCAAAAAUCCCCCAACUGCUCCAGAAACCAUGGCCUUCAAGCGAGGCAUUGUGACAGUAGGAGGUGCAGCCUUUGCAUGAUAGCCAAUUGCCCUCCCCUUACUCAAUAAGGAUUGAGUAUAUGGCAUAGCUUCCAUGAAAG
rnacentral:misc_RNA from 1 species